UGGACACUGACUAAGACACUAGGUAACAGAU
rnacentral:piRNA from 1 species